GGGGGAAAAUCAUUUUUCAUCAAAUUUGAAACUUCUAGGAUAGAGCAGGCAAAAUCCCCUGAUACAGCUUAUGAUGAUUAGCACAAUGUGCUAGCUCAAAAGAAUACAACCAAAGAAUAACUGGGAAAGGAAGAAGUUGAGACACUGAUAGAGUCAGGUGGAAUAAAAUUGCAAUAUGAAUUUGAUGAAAGAUAGAUCUAAAUAGAAUUGUUGCUUUGAUAAGUUUAAGAGUGUUUUCAGUCACACAUACUAGACCAAUCCAAGUCCCAUUACAAUGAUUGUCUUUUCCAAUCUGUGAUGUUAUAAGUGCAAAUUCAUUUUAACUAAAAAAUCAGAAAUCAAUCUGAGCACCAUAACCCAGCUUAUGUCCAAAAAUUCAGAGGAUGAGUUGAAAAAACUAACCAAUAGGUUAGAGGGAAAGACCUAAAUUGAUGUCGAUGAAGUUGCAAACAGCAAAUUGGAAGGAUGCUUGCAAGAAUGGGUACGGCCUCAAUAGGAAAUGGAAAUAAAGGAUCGAUUGACCUAACCCAGAUAGUUAAAACCAUAUUCAUCAAGGUUAUAAUUAAGUUCUUAAAAAGGUACUCUUGAAAGCAAAGCU
rnacentral:lncRNA from 1 species